AUACGUAGGGGGCGAGCGUUGUCCGGAAUGAUUGGGCGUAAAGGGCGCGUAGGCGGCCCGGUAAGUCUGGAGUGAAAGUCCUGUUUUUAAGAUGGGAAUUGCUUUGGAUACUGUCGGGCUUGAGUGCAGGAGAGGUAAGUGGAAUUCCCAGUGUAGCGGUGAAAUGCGUAGAGAUUGGGAGGAACACCAGUGGCGAAGGCGACUUACUGGACUGUAACUGACGCUGAGGCGCGAAAGUGUGGGGAGCAAACAGGAUUAGAUACCCUGGUAGUCCACACUGUAAACGAUGAAUGCUAGGUGUAGGGGGUAUCGACCCCUUCUGUGCCGCAGUCAACACAAUAAGCAUUCCGCCUGGGGAGUACGGCC
rnacentral:rRNA from 1 species